rnacentral:lncRNA from 1 species
CCGGGAAUACAUCGUUGCUACCUAUAUUACUGGAUUGCAAGCUUUAAGAAGGAGAUUUUAAUAGGUUGGUCAUUCAUAUCUCUGGCCAUGUGUGAUGAAUUUUUUUUGUUAAUUGCUAAUGCUUUAUUUCAGAGAACCAAAUCUGCACCAUGCCUCCUCACCCUCUCAGGUUAUUGUUUCACCCCUUUUGAUAGUUUUUUAGGUUUGUCCUUGUCCUUCUUCCCUAAGCGCUGCAAUUUUCUACCCUAUUUGUUUACUGCUUAUUAUCGCGUUAAUUCCUUUGUAUUCCUGGUUUUUCCGGGUGUCGUGUUUGUUUUUGUGGUGCUGCUUAUACGUGUGACUACCGUAUGAUCGUAUAUAUAUGCUCGAAAGUAAAAUGAUUUUUCCUUGGCACAAUACAUAAUUUGCAAUGAGAUGGUAGUACAUCAGUGUAUUUACAGGAAAAACCAAUGGUUAUAUAUAUGCUGAAAAGAAUUAAGGCUGAAAAGAAUAUUCAUCUACUAUUUCUUGAUGUAUGCUAUCGUAUAUUGCUUCUCUACUUGCUCAAAAUCAAAUUUCCAUCUAUGAAAAGGUAAGAAAUUAAGGCCAGCGAGAUGGCAGUAGAUUGGCAUGUUUACAGAAAAAACAAAUAGCUGUGCAAGUUUGAAAGAACAUCUGUUUACUAUUCCUUGCUAUAUGCAUAUUUCCCAUCUUCUUCCUUCGGAAUCAAUCAAUCAAAUGUGCAUCUACUAAAGGGUAAUAAAUUAAGGCUGCAAUCUAAGAAUACUUUUAUUUGUCAUUCUGAAUUUCUAUCACAGCACAGAGGAACGAGGAAUGGAUACAUGAGGCAUAGCGUAAGCGUAGGGGUCAGCCAGAGCACGACGCAAGAGUCUGCCCAUCUCCUCUCAAAGUUAGUUCUUGCUCUUGUCCCUACUACCUCGCGUGCCAUCUCUCUGAUAGAGUAUUUUAUUUCUGCAAUGUAUUAUAUUCUUCGGAGCAAUUGCAAUUUUUUCAUAGAUUCUUGGCAUACUAUGGAUUGAAUUCUUUGCGAUAACAAGCAAAACAUGGUAGCAGUCUCUUUCAGAUACGAUUUCUGAAAGGUUUGCUGACUAAACGUACCAAAUAUGAGCAAAAAGGGCCAUGCUAAUUAAUGCUGGCCAGGCUCAGGAGUAAAGUUAUACAUAUUUUGAUUGCAAGUUAUUUUGUCCAGCACGAAAGGCACUAAUGCGUCCCGAAAACCUAGCGCACAAAGGACCAAUCCUCCCCUUCCUCGAGCCCCAUUCGAGUCUGCGCCGUUUAGCAUCUCCAGUCUCCACUGCUCGUCAACUCUUCGUUGUACGGCCUCUCGCGCCGCCGCCUUCUUCCCUAGACGUCUUCCCCGACACUUGUGGUACAGCAGCAGCCAUUGCAGUAGGUUAGACUAAGCUUGCUUGCCUAACCUGCUAUGGAUGAAUGGUGUGUCUCACCAGGAAACAUUAGGUUGUUGAAUUACUUGGCCUUUACAAAUUCCGAAAUAUUGGUUCGGCAUAUAUUAAUUUCCACUCCUUAUUGUUCAUGGCAUAAACGAGCACUAUAAAAGGUCAAGAGUAGAAACUUAGGUCAAGUUAUUGCUGGAUGUAGCCUGCUUUGUUCAAUUGAAAUAUAUUUGCAACAUGAGCUGGUUGUUGAUCGUUACUCUCGAUGUUGAAGAUGCUAUUGAUUGAGGAACGGGAAAAAAUCUCACAUCUUGUGGUGUUUACUACUUUUUGCAUUGUCAAAUUGAAAAUUUUCUGCAAAAAAAUAGUAGGUUUCCCUUUCAAUAGUUCAUUUCGUCAGUCCAGUCGUAUUGACAGUUCAUUUUUUGUUGGUCUGGGCAUAGCAAGGGAGGUCCCCUAUAUGUGAUGAGUGGCUUGAAGCUGAACAUCUGUAUUUACCUGUGCUUCCUAUGCAUCUAAUAUGACCUGUAAAUUUAAAUAAAAUUUGAUGAGUUGCAAGUUGCAGCUUAUUUUCUUGUACAGUCUUGCUAUUUGAUUAUUCUCCUUCUGCCUCCACCUUGUAAUAUUUUCCCAAUGGCCGAUCCAUGAACUCACAGAAAAACAUUAGGUUCUAUGCCAAGCUGUUGGCACCGUAUAUAUACUGAAAGUGGAGUGGUAAUAGUUGAACGUUUUUCUUCCCCUUGUAGGAACACAGACGUCGGUAGCAGGAGAAAGUAUGUGACUUGGUUGAGUCAGCCAAGAAAUAUGGUGGUAUAAUGCACAUAUUUCCUUCAAUGCAUGUCUCUGGCGACCCUGAGUAUACAUAGUGCUUUCAUUUCUUACUGCACACUCUUUAUUCAUAGAUGCUCUGAAUUACAACUCCCCAUUGGCAUAUCUGCAAUUCCAUGCCAUACAUCCCCCCAAAUUACUGCACACUCUUCAGGGGCAUUUUUUUAUAUGCUUGACUUAACUGGAGCUUAAAUUUGUCAUUUGUUUAAUUACCAAUUUGAUUUAUUCUUGACUCUUGAUUGCUGCCGCUGGAACUGAGGGAUAUUGACACGGGUAACAAAAUAGUUGAAAGAUUUCAUACUGAUCAGGCUCUCGAGACUACAGUUCCAUGCUAUACAUCCCCCCAAAUGACGAAAGGAUUCUAGGACUAAGUUAUAGGAUUUUAUAUUUUAGUCUGAUUUUCCUUCUGUUAAUAUGUGCUGCUAUGCAAUUUUUCAUAGGCUUCUUUUUCCUUUUUAUGGUUACGAUUUACAAAGCUGAGCAAUAGUUUCUCUACUAAUAUAGCUUGCGUGAAAAACAUCCGUCUUUAGUAUGCUUUUGCGGCAUGUGUAACUGCCUCACAUUAGCCUAUGCUUCUAUCCGAGUUGCUUACUACUAAGACCAUAAUGGAUCAUGCUUUUUAACUGGUAUAUAAGCUGCCGAGACCAGAUGUAUUGAAAUUUUUUAAAAUAUACCAACGGUAGGAGUUGACCAAUAAUGCUGAAUUGAUUCAGUCUUCAGCAUAGUUCAAAAAAGCGUUAGGCGUUAAUUGUGCAUUUUGCCACCGCCUUGUGCUUUACUCCACCAAAGCGCAUGCUUAUGCGCAGUUAUGCAUAGAUUAAACGUAGUUAUGCGCAAUGCGUUUUUCCAACGCCUGGAGCCUAGGCGCGCUUAAGCGCUCACUUAGGCGCGCCUUUUUUAACUAUGGUCUUCAGGCCUUAUGCGCAAUUUCCACAAUGUUAAAAUAAUAUAUGCUUUAAUGCUCCUGUCAACUGCUUUAAUGCUUCUGCUUGUUUGUCUGAAUCUUGUUGUUGUUCAUUAAUUUCGUGUUGCCUGCUGUUGCCCGUGAGGGGGAGUCGGAUCCAUCUUGGAUAACCAUCCCUGAUGAGCUUUUAAUACACACUAAUGGUGACAAAAUCGAUGCCAUUGUUCAGGCUGUAUACAAAGAUGUUCCUACUAGACAUUCUGACGUUGAUUAUCUAAAAGAAAGAGCAAUUCUAACACCAACGAACCAAGUAGCUGAAAAAUAUACGAGCGUGUUCUAUCUAUAGUGCGUACCAGUGAGAGAGUACCUAAGCUGUGUCAAGUGUCCAUGCCUAUGUUUUAUAUGCAAAUAACUUUCCUCUUUUGCACAAACCAUGCUUCCUGUACAAUGAUAUUUAAUAGCAGCAAACUAAACAGGUUGGUCAGGAAACUGAAGCUGCAGCUACGAAGAGCCAAAGAACAUUCUUGCUGAACAGGCUAAAGCCAAGAGGUAAAGACUCAUAGUCUGUUACAUCCAACCAGUUCAACAUAAGAUAUGGCGUGCCACCUCUUGUUCAUCCUUUACCUUGUCUUCUUUGACAACCAAAGCAUCCUUCUCUGUGGCUCUCAAAAAUGCUUUCUUCUUCACACGAUGCAUGUUAUGCCAUUUGAUCAAACUAUCUUUUCUGCCACAGCUAUAUUCAAAUUGAUCAUAGGCCCAAUAAAACAUCAUUUUACCUUCAAAAUCUAAUAUACAUUUUAUUUUUUUCCUGUUAGCAUAUACAGGCAACUCUUCCUGUUGCAUCAAAAGUAACUUGCUUCGUACAUGCAAACUAAUUAGCCAUAUAGUUAAAUUAGCUACGUAUUAAGAUUUGGUAUAUCUACUGCUUAUUUAUGUUGUGUUCUAUUUGCUGUUCCAAUCUUAUGUGCUUGUUAUUUUUAUCACACUGUAACCAAGCUUCUGUUCUUAUAGCAAUAAAAAACCUUGUGCAAUCAAGCUUCUUUUCUUAUAGCAAUUACAGUUUUGAUACCUCUGUUUCUUUAUAUCAUCUUGUUGGGUUUCUGUUUCUCUUCAUAUAGGAGGCAGAUAUGUGAUUCUCAUGUGAUCCUUUUGCUGGAAACUUGCUAAUCUUAGGGGUGCUGCUACUGGUGUAAAAACCAUUUUAUCAAAAGAACUAAAGUAGUAGCUAAUGCAAGCAUUGAAGAACUGACGCAGAGGUUACGCUAUAUUGGCAUGAAGUCAGAGCAGUGCCUGAAUACUACAUAAGAUAGUUUCUGGUGACCUUGAGUCUAUAUGUCCUAACCAACAGCAGCCACCUUUUAUUUCGUAUCAAUCGAUCCAGUAUCUUUCCCCUUUUGGCAUUGCUCUGAGCAAGAUAUGUAUAGCCUUUACAUUUCCACUCGUGUACACUUUAGACCUCAUUACUGUCUCUGUGGGGAAGUUUGUGAUCACUUGUUCUAUAUAAGUAAUCAACUGCCCUUCUACUAAUAUUUUCAGAAGACUAUUUAUGUAUGUUUAUACUGGUUAGAGAGAAUCAUGACAUUGCCAGCAACAAUUUUUAUUUCCACAUGUUUCAAUCUGUC